AUAGCACAUCAUAUGCACAAACUACAAUAGGCACUCACUAACACGAUACUCAAAACCUGUCUCAACUUCCUCCACUGCAGUGACCGGCACCCAUUUCACACCGUGUGUGCACUCUGCCUGCAAAAAUAAAUAAAAUAGAAAUAUAAUUUUAGAACCGUUUUUGGUGGACAUUAGUUUGACGAGGAACACUUACUAAUUGACUCAAUUCCAUUCUUAAAUUUACCAUGUCCUCUUCCGCUGCACGACAUGCCACGCGGAUUUUUGUUGCGAAUCUACCCUGGACCGUGGGGACAACCGAGCUGCGUCAGUUUGGUUCAUCGUUUGGUCGUGUGACCCAUGCCAGCGUUGUUUUCGACCGAAAUACCGGGCUCAGCAAGGGCUACGGCUUCCUCGUCUAUGCCAAUGGCGAAGGAGGGGGCGAAGGGUUAAUCAAACCAGGAAACUCCACCCACUUCCUAGAAGGCAAUCACAUCACUUGCACACUCGCACACAACACGAACUAACUUUGGCAAUUUCAUAGAACUUUGUAAAAAUACUGAAUUUCUUGCUAGAUUGUUUCGUAUUAAUCAUGAAUGAUUAUAGAUUAUGUUAUAGACUAGUCAGUCAUAGUGGAUUGGUACAAAUUGUGGAUUUCAAAUAUAUACGAACAGUUUUUGCAAGGAUAACACAA